rnacentral:lncRNA from 1 species
CACCGUGGGUUAUCAGAAUCAACAAACUCUUCAUCCAUACUCAACAUUUCAAUGUUGUGCUUAUUACAAAAAGAAGAGAUCUUACCUAGGAAAGUAUCCCAUCCAUCAUCUCUAACAUUUUACAAUCGCCUCUUAGCAACUCUCACCAGUGCAAUAGCGUUCAAUAUAUCCUAAUCUUUACUUUGCAAAGCCAAGGAUAACUGAUUUGUUAUCCCC